AUACGAAAGUUGCAAGCGUUGUUCGGAUUUACUGGGCGUAAAGAGAGUGUAGGUUGUUUAUUAAGUCGGAUGUGAAAGCCCGGUGCUCAACCUCGGAACUGCAUUCGAUACUGGUAGACUAGAGUUCGGGAGGGGUAAGCGGAAUUCCGUGUGUAGCAGUGAAAUGCGUAGAUAUACGGAGGAACACCUGAGGCGAAGGCGGCUUACUGGACCGAUACUGACACUGAGACUCGAAAGCGUGGGUAGCAAACAGGAUUAGAAACCCUAGUAGUCC
rnacentral:rRNA from 1 species